AGCCCCUGUACGUUUAGGUAUCUAAAACAGAACUGUUAACAAAUCCCUAGACACCUCUAUCUCUAUAGGGUUAAUGAAAAACUACCUGUUAUUUCAUGCUAAUUUCUCGGCCCACAGGCAGAGAUCUCAGAUGUGACUCCUGUAGAAGAGACCAGGGAGAUGUCACCUGGGCAAUCAACAGCAAGUAAACCAUCUGACAGAUCCUUUAUCUUGGAUAAAAUGAGUGAAGAAGACGAUGCCUAUGACUUUACCACAGAUUAUAUAUAGCCUUCUAAAUGUUCAAGUGUGCUCUGUACAGUGUUUCUAGAUUGCUUUGGUAUGAUAUAAAGUGUAAAUCUUGUGAAUAUGUAUCAUGUUCUAAAUUAAAAACAAAAUAAAAAGUGUUUGUA
rnacentral:lncRNA from 1 species